CGAACGCUGGCGGCGUGCCUAAUACAUGCAAGUCGAGCGAGUCUGCCUUGAAGAUCGGAGUGCUUGCACUCUGUGAAACAAGAUACAGGCUAGCGGCGGACGGGUGAGUAACACGUGGGUAACCUGCCCAAGAGAUCGGGAUAACACCUGGAAACAGAUGCUAAUACCGGAUAACAACAGAUGAUGCCUAUCAACUGUUUAAAAGAUGGUUCUGCUAUCACUCUUGGAUGGACCUGCGGUGCAUUAGCUAGUUGGUAGGGUAACGGCCUACCAAGGCGAUGAUGCAUAGCCGAGUUGAGAGACUGAUCGGCCACAUUGGGACUGAGACACGGCCCAAACUCCUACGGGAGGCAGCAGUAGGGAAUCUUCCACAAUGGACGCAAGUCUGAUGGAGCAACGCCGCGUGAGUGAAGAAGGGUUUCGGCUCGUAAAGCUCUGUUGUUGGUGAAGAAGGACAGGGGUAGUAACUGACCUUUGUUUGACGGUAAUCAAUUAGAAAGUCACGGCUAACUACGUGCCAGCCGCCG
rnacentral:rRNA from 1 species